rnacentral:lncRNA from 1 species
GUCUCUCCUAUUGAUUCAAUCACCAGUGUUACUUGCAACUAAAUCAAGAGGUUAUGAUAAUGUUCCGAAUGUUGAUUUUUGGAUUUACGUUAUUUGUGCUGCCAUCAACGACCACAUCAAAAUCUGAUGGGAAUGUAGAGGUUCGGUUACUGGAUAAUCAAAAUGCUCCAUUAGUAGCAACCUUGGACAUGUCGAAAGCAGACGAACGUGUUAAGAAGUUUGUAAGUGAUGCAAUCGAAGCAAUAUGAAAACUAUAGAGGAGACUAUGAGAUCCAAGAAGUUUGUUAUUGAUACACUUGAUGCGAAAAUGAACACUCUAGAAGGAAUUAUGGAAUCGCAAAUUAGCAAUUUUGAACGGAACUUGACCAAUCAGUUAACUGAUUACAUCAACGAAAUGGUUGUCAAGGUAGACGAAGAAAACGGUAAGAAAUAUACAUAAAUUGGCAAGUUUAUUUUUCAUUAAGCAUUCGAUCAAUUUGUUGUAUCGAUAAUAAUUCAUUCAAAUGCAGUGAUCACCCACUUUCACAAUCAAAGAUUGUGUUUCAUAUGAAAAAAGGAGUAGUGAAGUUAAAUGUCAGUGCGAUAGCAACCAAACUAAAUAUACAGAUCUAGAUUGUUUUUAGCAUGCACUGAAACGGCCCAAUUAGUACACUAAAGUGUUGUUUUAAAUUUCGUAUUGAUAAAAAAGAAUGUAAAAUAGUUUCCAAGACAGACCAUAAUAGAAAAACGGCACGACGUGUCUAACUUUUUUACGUGUCGUGCUUGAAUGUCACGAAUAAAAGUGUAUGCAUGAUACUUAAAGUAAAUUAAAUAUUUAAGAAAUUCUAGUAGCUAUGAUGAGUUUAUUUACAACCACUGAAUCCAUGCCACUGCUGGUGGAGUUUUCUUUCGCCGAAGGUAUCAUCAGCCCAGUUAAAAUAUUCUGUUCUUGAGGUAGAAUAGCCUUAAUAUUUAAAAAAAAAUCAAUUUAUAAUUAUUACCACAUCAAUGAUAAUUCAACACAGAAGUUUCAACUAAUAGACUUUGACUUAGUAAUAUUAGAAUAAGUAAAGCAAAUUAUCAUGCUUUACAAAUUAUAAAAUACAUUAUUGUUAAAAGUAAGUAAGAAUUACAAUAUUACAGAUAUGUCAUCUGUUUACACUUUUCUUGAUGUUAUCUGUAUUUCCAAUUUCAUUAAAUAUAAUUUAUACCUGACAAUAGCACCUGUUUUGUUGCUAAUUAUUCUCCACAGUUGAAAUUCAAGGAAACAUUGUGUUAUGGAUGAUUAUUAUCUUAUACAGUGGUUUAAAAAUGUUCAGAUUUCGUUAAUCGUAAAUCGAUAUAUAGAGGGUUUCCGAUCUUAUACCGUACCAACCGUAAUUGAACCAGCCUUGAGAUUUAAAAUUAAUAUAUGGAACAUUUUCGUUAAACUGACAGUUGUUUUGAGAUUCGUAAUAAAUUUUCUUGGGUAAAUUUGUAUUUGAAAUUUGAUACGUUGAUAGGAUUAGUAUUAAAAGCAAACAGUAUUGGUUGUAAUUGAAUAUUCUUCAAGACAACCGUUUCCCGAAAAAAAUAUUGUAGAAAUAUUUCAGUGAAGUUUAAGCAUUAAGGACCCUGUCAAGCCAAAGAAGUUCUAUUAUGUUUCUUUUUUUCUGCAUUAUUAUUAUAUUGUCUAACAUAAGUUGGAGAUUAAUGAUUAAAAAAACUACCUGAAGUUAGAUAAGAAAAAAAAACCAACAAUAAAAUUUCAUAGAAGACACACAUAUUUAGCUGUAGGUUAUGUUCUUUAGGUCCAUGAUCUAUUCCUUAGCUUUAUUUUUUAGCGUUCCUAGUGAAGGUUUAUUCAAAAAAUUGCCUCAGACUUCAAACCAUUUUGAUUAGAAAAUUGUCAUCAUUUCAUCACCUUUAAUAGAAUCUCGGUGUAAGGUUACAUUUUAAAACAUUUAAUUACUAGAAUAUGAUAUGGGUUUUCCGAAUUAUUAAAUAUUAAUGUAAGAUGAUAAAUUAGACUAUGAUUCUCUGCAUCAAAUCAACAUAAUUUACAAAUUUAAAUUUAGAUGAAAUUUUAUAAAAAAAAAACGAAAUCGCUUGUUUGAUGAAAAAUAUAGCUGUGGCAUAAGUAUGGGCUCAAAUGUAAUUGAUCAAAGCCACAGGCAAAUAAAAGAUACUUUUUAUAGUAUAAUAGUAAAGGAUAAAGUCCUUGUCCUCUUCAUAAUCCUUUUUAAAAUAACAUAGUUUAAUAGGUACAUUUUGAAAGCUUUACGAUUGUUGAUCAUACACAACUUGUAGUAGGUAUGGUAACCAAAGUUAACAUGCUAUUAAUUGUAUUACCACUUUCGCACAUGUAAGGCAAAAUUAAAACAAUCUUCAAAUUGUAUUCGUCUAAAGCGUUUGUCCUACCAAAGCAGGCGAAAACCUAUAUGACUAAAACAGUACCUUUAUGUACUAAUAAUAUACUAAGCUAAGAACUUCGUUUCGCAUUUUUUUAUAUUUUUUUGCUUCUUUAUGUGGCCUUCUAUCUAUAGGUUUAUUUAGGGGGUAUCUUGAUCACUCAAUCAAUUCAUUUAUUGAUUCGACUUAAUAUAUUUUUUUUAAAUCGUCAUUUAUACUUGCCCCGACCUUAAAGAAUGAUCCGUAGCAUGACCGAAUUAGCGCCACAUUACUCAGUGAUAUAACUUUUAAGAUAAACACUUUAACGUUAAAAACAGAUAAAAUGCAAAAUGGACAAAGCAGGACAAAUUUAAACAAGGCCUACAAAAAUCAUAUUUACUCGUAAAUCCUUUUCCAGAGCAUUUUAAUUAAAAACUGGCCAAAAGUGUAGAUAUUUUCAGCUUUCACUUUUCAAGCCAGAUCUUAAAGAGAAUAUUAUUUUAUUUGGUUAAUCUGGUUAUUCAACCCACAUGAAACAUUUAAUUGCAUGUUCAAGAUCCUAAAAGUCAAUUCCAAACUCUAAUGAGUAAGUUAUAGUAAUUGUUGUAAAAUCGCUUGUGAACAGUCAACAAAUACGUUUGGAAAACGAACUUUCUAUGUAGUUGGAAUACAAAGUUGUGACGAUAUUGAUAAGGGUUUUUUUUCAAAUUUUGCCUCCAACUCUAAAGAUAAAAUGGUAUGAAAUAAGCAUACUUAUUUAUCAUAUACAAUUAGUAUUUGGUUUACAAAAACGAAAAUAUUAAUUUCAAUUUCAAAAUUUCUUUUCUAGGGAAGAGUUCCACCUACAUUCGAUGGGGAAGAAGUGACUGUUCUGGAGUUAAUACAGAAAUCGUCUAUUCAGGU